rnacentral:ncRNA from 1 species
UGAGAGGCGAAGAAGGACGUGGUAAGCUGCGAUAAGCCAGGAAGAGCUGCACACAAGCAUUAUAUCCCUGGAUUUCCGAAUGGGUCAACCCGGUACGUUGAAGACGUAUCACUCGAAAGAGAGCCAACCCGGGGAACUGAAACAUCUAAGUACCCGGAGGAAAAGAAAAUAAGUGAUUCCCUGAGUAGUGGCGAGCGAAACGGGAAGAGCCUAAACCAACUUCGCGUGCGGAGUUGGGGUUGUAGGACCACAUUUAGAAAUGUCAUCAAGCUGAACCUUUUUGGAAAGUUGAGCCAUAGCAGGUGAUAGCCCCGUAAGCAAAAUUGUUGAGGACGAGUAGGUAUCCUGAGUAGGGCGGGACCGGAGGAAUCCUGCUGAAUCUGCCGGCACCAUCCGGUAAGGCUAAAUACUCUCAGACACCGAUAGUGAACCAGUACCGUAAGGGAAAGGUGAAAAGCACCCUAAACAAGGGAGUGAAAUAGUACCUGAAACCGUGCGCCUACAAGCGGUCGGAGCAACGUAAGUUGUGACGGCGUGCCUUUUGCAUAAUGAGCCUACGAGUUACUCCUCACUGGCGAGGUUAAGUUCUUAGUAACGGAGCCGUAGCGAAAGCGAGUCCAAAUAGGGCGUUUAGUCAGUGGGGGUAGACGCGAAACUUUGUGAUCUAUCCAUGGGCAGGUUGAAGGUUUGGUAACACAAACUGGAGGACCGAACCCGAUUACGUUGAAAAGUUUGGGAUGACCUGUGGAUAGGGGUGAAAGGCCAAUCAAACUGAGAGAUAGCUCGUUCUCCCCGAAAUGUUUUUAGGAACAGCGUCGCAUAUAGAAGUUUAUAGAGGUAGAGCUACUGAUUGGGCUAGGGGGCUUCACCGCCUACCAAACCCUGACAAACUCCGAAUGCUA